rnacentral:pre_miRNA from 1 species
AAUAAGAGUAGUUUAACACUAUUUAUCUUUAACGUUUCAUCGUUUAUUUUAUUUAAAUAAAUUUUAUGAUUACUAUUUUUAUUAUUAUUAGAUGAUAAAACAUGAAUAGUACUUUAUGUGUGACUAAUUUUUUUAAAAUUUUUAAUAAUUUUUUUAAAUAAGACGGACGGUCAAAUAUUGGACACGGAUUUUCACCUCUGCAUUUAUU